rnacentral:rRNA from 1 species
UCAGGUGAUUAUGGCAAAGAGGUCACACCCGUUCCCAUACCGAACACGGCAGUUAAGCUCUUUUGCGUCGAUGGUAGUUGGGGNUGGUAGUUGGGGGUUUCCCCCUGUGAGAGUAGAACGUCGCCUGGU